rnacentral:rRNA from 1 species
GACGAACGCUGGCGGCGUGCUUAACACAUGCAAGUCGAACGGAAAGGCCCUGCUUUUGCGGGGUGCUCGAGUGGCGAACGGGUGAGUAACAUGUGAGUAACCUGCCCUUGACUUUGGGAUAACUUCAGGCAACUGGGGCUAAUACCGGAUAGGAGCUCCUGCUGCAUGGUGGGGGUUGGAAAGUUUCGGCGGUUGGGGAUGGACUCGCGGCUUAUCAGCUUGUUGGGGGGGUAGUGGCUUACCAAGGGUUUGACGGGUAGCCGGCCUGAGAGGGUGACCGGCCACAUUGGGACUGAGAUACGGCCCAGACUCCUACGGGAGGCAGCAGUGGGGAAUAUUGCACAAUGGGCGGAAGCCUGAUGCAGCAACGCCGCGUGCGGGAUGACGGCCUUCGGGUUGUAAACCGCUUUCGCCUGUUACGAAGCGUGAGUGACGGUAAUGGGUAAAGAAGCACCGGCUAACUACGUG